ACGAACUGUCGAAUCUGAAAGAAAGAUAUUUGAGCAGUAUUGCCCAGGAGGUCAACCAGAACCAACUAGAAGGACACCUAUAAUUGAGACGACAAGAAAGAGAGUUGUGGAGAAAACUCCAGCACCUGCCAUUACAC